GACGGAGGAUGCAAGCGUUAUCCGGAUUUAUUGGGUUUAAAGGGUGCGUAGGCGGACUAUUAAGUCAGUGGUGAAAGCCCCAGGCCUAACCUGGGAACUGCCAUUGAUACUGAUGGUCUUGAGUACAUUUGAGGUGGGCGGAAUGUGUCAUGUAGCGGUGAAAUGCUUAGAUAUGACACAGAACACCGAUUGCGAAGGCAGCUCACUAAACUGUAACUGACGCUGAGGCACGAAAGCGUGGGGAGCAAACAGG
rnacentral:rRNA from 1 species